rnacentral:rRNA from 1 species
AUUGAACGCUGGCGGCAUGCCUAACACAUGCAAGUCGAACGGAGUGGCGAACGGGUGAGUAAUGCCUAGGAAUCUGCAUGGUAGUGGGGGAUAACUUCCGGAAACGGUAGCUAAUACCGCAUACUAUCAGAUCAGCCUAGGUCGGAUUAGCUAGUUGGUGGGGUAACGGCCUACCAAGGCGACGAUCCGUAACUGGUCUGAGAGGAUGAUCAGUCACACUGGAACUGAGACACGGUCCAGACUCCUACGGGAGGCAGCAGUGGGGAAUAUUGGACAAUGGGCGAAAGCCUGAUCCAGCCAUGCCGCGUGUGUGAAGAAGGUCUUCGGAUUGUAAAGCACUUUAAGUUGGGAGGCGUUACCAACAGAAUAAGCACCGGCUAACUUCGUGCCAGCAGCCGCGGUAAUAC